rnacentral:lncRNA from 1 species
UUUCACAAUCUUAAUUAUCAAUUAAAACUUGAAUUUAAAUUUGGAUUCACAAUAAAUUAAAUUUAAAUUCACAAUUCAAAUUUAAACAUUAUGAUUGAAUUCAAAAACUCAACUAUAAUUAGAAUUUAGUUUCACAUGUUUGGAAUCUAAUUUAUAUCUAGUAUGAUACUAACAUUCUUAAAAUGGCCACAGAAUAUCUCGCGCACAUAUGGCGAAUGCAGACAGAAGUUGUGCCAUGCAUCCCAUCAUACUAGCAAAAUGAACUGAGUGGACAACAUUAUAUGAUUCAGCCCAUUAUAAUGCAUAUAUUCAUUAAACGUAUUGAAAGUUUAAAUCUAAGGCUUCAUUUGGUUCGGGAAUUAGUAGGAACUAGUUUACCGGGGAUAGGUACAAGUAUGGAUUUUUGUAAGAUUAAGAGUAUUUUUUUGUUUGGAUGAAAAUGUGAGUAUAAGCUGAAACUAGAAAAAUUGUGUUUGGAUGGUUAUUGGAAAUAAGAGAAAUAAUUGAUGGUUAUAAAUAGAAAAUAAUGAUAUUACCCCUAUAAUUGAAUUUAAAUUUUUAAAUUUUAAACUUAUAAUUUUAAAUUAAAAAUUUUAACUUUUAAAUUUUAAAAUUUGAAAUUAAAAUUUAAAAUUUAAAUAUCCAAAUUUUUAAUUUAAAAUAUCAAAUUUUAAAUUUAAGACCAAAUUUAAAUUUGAAAUAUAUAAAAUAUCAAAUUUAAAAUCUAAAAAUUUAUAAUAUCAGAUUUAAAUUUUAAACUUUAAAAUUUACCAUUUACAAUUUACAAUUUUAAUUUGAAAAUUACAAAAUUUAAAUUUUAAAUUUCAAAACAAAACACUCUCUCUCUCUCUCAGUGGAUGCCAAGCUUGUUCCCACUCGGGGUGGGAACUAUUGUUCCCACCCCUUACCGGGUUAUACCAGAUAUAUCCUGAUAAGGUGGGAACAAUAGUUCCCACCUCACCAAAUUUUUGUUUGAGUAUAAAGGGGGGGAUAACCCCCUUAUCCCCCCCUUUAUACCCGAUCCAAACGGGAUCUAAGAGAAUUGGAAUAGAUUAAUAGAGCGAGUAAACCUAAAGAAAAGAACAUGCUAACAGAUACAUCCACAAACCAGUUUCAACAGAUACAGGUAAAAUUAACUUUAGGGACUCAAAACUCAUAUCAAAUAAGCAGAGGCGACAUGAUCAAAGGAAUAGUGUCUGUGCAAAACGCAAACCAAAAGCGGUUGAAGAGGGUCAAGUUCCUCUCUUUUUCCAUGUCUUUUAAUUGAAAAAUAUAACCAAGCACAAUGCACCAACUAAAUAGCAAGUAAUACCAUUACAUUGUUUAAAAUAUCCACUAAACUGAAAUUAUGAGUUUGACUUAAAGCUGUCCAAAAUAUCCGAUAUAUACCAUACCCGACCCGGACCUUACCCGGACCCUAUCCGGACCCGAACCGGACCCGAUAAAAAAUGGAUAGUAUACGUGUAAAAAAAAAAACCCAUUAAAGUUUCGGAUAUGGGUUCGGAUAUUUCAUACCCAUACCUGAUUUGGACCCGACCCGAACCCAACUUUUAAAUGGAUAGGGUCCAGAAUAGUUUUUAAAUUCGGACCCGGACCCGAACCCGGACCCGAUGAAAUAUUUGAUAGUAAAUAAAAAAAUUGUGAACUUUUAAAGUUGAGGGAUCAAUUUUGAUAGUAAAUAAAAAAAUUGUGGUACAAGUGAGUUUUUUUUUUUAAAUCCCUUCUCCAAUCAUAGUCGACAAUCUUUUUUUUUUAAUGAAUAUUCUAUCUAGUAAAUUUUCUGAUUCAUCAUUAUUUUUUUUCCUUUUUUUUUUGAAUGUUAGUAUAUAAUAUUAGUAAUUACUACAACUUAUAUUCUCUUUAUCUAUAAUAUGGUAUCAUAAUUUUUUAAUUUUUGUAUGUUUACAUAUAAAAUUAUUUUGAAGUUUAUACUUUUAAUCAGUAAAUACAAUGGCCGAAACAAAUUUUGCCAAACAAUUUAAUAAAGUCUAUAAAAAUAUAUAUAUACCGGUACCCGUACCCGACCCGUAUCCGGUUUUGAACGGGUAGUAUACAGAUAGUCACUACCCAGACCCGCUCAAAUAGACCCGAUGGGUAUAUUAGUAACUUAAGUAUCCAGAUNCUUUUCUUUUUUCUAAUUUUUUUACUCUUUGUUUUUAACUCUUUAUUUUUUUUGUUUUAUUUUCGCCUAAGAGUUUUUUAUGAAACAAUAUUUUCAUCGUCGUCAUCAUUAGCGAUAUUAAUCCUUUACAGGUGUGGUACAAGUGAGUUUUUUUUCCAAAUCACUUCUCUAAUCAUAGUCGACAAUCUAGUUUUUUUUAAUGAAUAUUCUAUUUAGUAAAUUUUCUAAUUCAUCUUUAUUUUUUUUCUUUUUUUUUGAAUGUUAGUAUAUAAUAUUAGUAAUUACUACAACUUAUAUUCUCUUUAUCUAUAAUAUGGUAUCAUAAUUUUUUAAUUUUUGUAUGUUUACAUAUAAAAUUAUUUUGAAUUUUAGACUUUUAAUCAGUAAAUACAAUGGCCGAAACAAAUUUUGCCAAACAAUUUAAUAAAGUCUAUAAAAAUAUAUAUAUACCGGUACCCGUACCCGACCCGUAUCCGGUUUUGAACGGGUAGUAUACAGAUAGUCACUACCCAGACCCGCUCAAAUAGACCCGAUGGGUAUAUUAGUAACUUAAGUAUCCAGAUCCGGACCCGACCCGAAGUAAAAUAGGUAGGGUUUUUUUUUUUUCUAACCAUUUCUUUUUAAGGUACGAAUACAGUAUAUCUAGUACCCGGACUCGACCCGGUCCACGGACACCUUUAGUUUGACUAUUAAGACAUACUAAGCACAGUUGUAAUUCCCUUAAUAAUUCAACUUACUCACAUGAACUCAUAAAUUACAUUCAAGAUAAAUCCGGAAAAAAAUA